UGGGGAAUAUUGCACAAUGGGCGCAAGCCUGAUGCAGCCAUGCCGCGCGUAUGAAGAAGGCCGUCGGGUUGUAAAGUACUUUCAGCGGGGAGGAAGGGAGUAAAGUUAAUACCUUUGCUCAUUGACGUUAUCCGCAGAAGAAGAACCGGCUAACUCCGUGCCAGCAGCCGCGGUAAUACGGAGGGUGCAAGCGUUAAUCGGAAUUACUGGGCGUAAAGCGCACGCAGGCGGUUUGUUAAGUCAGAUGUGAAAUCCCCGGGCUCAACCUGGGAACUGCAUCUGAUACUGGCAAGCUUGAGUCUCGUAGAGGGGGGUAGAAUUCCAGGUGUAGCGGUGAAAUGCGUAGAGAUCUGGAGGAAUACCGGUGGCGAAGGCGGCCCCCUGGACGAAGACUGACGCUCAGGUGCGAAAGCGUGGGGAGCAAACAGG
rnacentral:rRNA from 1 species